rnacentral:tRNA from 1 species
GUCGGGAUAGCUCAGUGGA